UACAGAGGUCUCAAGCGUUGUUCGGAUUCAUUGGGCGUAAAGGGCGCGUAGGCUGCGGGGCAAGUCGGGUGUGAAAUCUCAGAGCUCAACUCUGAAACUGCACUCGAUACUGCUUUGCUUGAGGACCGGAGAGGAGAUUGGAAUUCACGGUGUAGCAGUGAAAUGCGUAGAUAUCGUGAGGAAGACCAGUGGCGAAGGCGGAUCUCUGGACAGUUCCUGACGCUGAGGCGCGAAGGCCCAGGGGGAGGCAAACGGG
rnacentral:rRNA from 1 species